GGGGAUUUCUAGUUGUUUUCUCUGCAUUACUCUCUUUUCCAGCGGCCAUAUGUAUAUCUUUCCACCUAUUUUUCCCAUACAUAUAUUAUGCACAUUCGUGUACUCCUAGUGCCUUGAGUUGUUCCAGGUUUUUUGAGGUGUGGUGUUCGAUAGUUUGGUUUUGUUCUAGCAUACCGGGUCGUCAAGCCAUCUCUACUAGUUUUGUC
rnacentral:misc_RNA from 1 species